rnacentral:rRNA from 1 species
UAAUGUAUGGGGAUCUGCCCGAUAGAGGGGGAUAACACUGGAAACGGUGGCUAAUACCGCAUAAUGUCUACGGACCAAAGCAGGGGCUCUUCGGACCUUGCACUAUCGGAUGAACCCAUAUGGGAUUAGCUAGUAGGUGGGGUAAAGGCUCACCUAGGCGACGAUCUCUAGCUGGUCUGAGAGGAUGAUCAGCCACACUGGGACUGAGACACGGCCCAG